CUCAAAGAUUAAGCCAUGCAAGUGGUUAUAUUAACCCGACAGUUUAAAUAAGUGUUAAAUGCUACAUUACACUCUCACGCACACACACACACACACACACACGAGAUUCGUUACGGUAGUAACAAUUUCAGCGUGAAUCACCUUUACACAGUGAAUCACUGAAAUUACCCAUUCAGUAUCACUUACGCAACUGCAGACAGCUGCUUAAUACAGUCACACUUGUCUUGACUUGGCGUCAUUUCAAACAGGAGAGAGAAUUUAUUUUUUCCCGCCUGCUUUGAAUUGCAUACUAUCACACAUGCUGAUUGUUGCAAUCAUUCGAUUUCUCUGUAUCGCUUAUUCUCAAAGGACAUGCGUUACACCGUGACAAUUUUCUUUUAUGGAUAACUCAGGGAAAGUUUGGCUAAUACGUACGAGUAUCACACACACACACACACUCGCACACAUUUUAUGAUUCGCUCUCACGUGGCGACGUAUCUUUUUCUCUCACACACACUACACCCCGAAUCGAUUACRUACCGCGAGAGAUCACACAGUGUUUCAUUUUUUAUGUGUCUGCAACACAUCAACUACUCARCACUCAAUGGUAAACUUUGGCCGCGUUCGCGCAGUCAGUUUAAAGUUUAACUGCAACAUGAGAGACAUUGAGCACGCACGUGUCGUGACUUCGGUCACUUCACAUCACGCUGAGCAGACUUUGCGAAGUUUACUUUGCGAAGCAUGUCAUACAAGCAUCUACAGCAUCAAGUCACAGGGUUGGCAAGUGUAUUUUUGAACCUUCAAAGCAGUCACGCAUACGGAAGAGUAGUUUCUGAUCCCAUAGAAGGAGCACCGUACAAUGAGAGACCGCUCUUAGUUCUAAGGAACGCAGCAGGCGCGUAAAUUGCCCAAUGCUAGUACCCUACAAUUUAUUAUCAUUUUGUAUUACUAUUGCGUUAUACAACAAUUUACAACACACACACACUAGAUGUGAUGUAAUAUAUAUAGCACUAUAUUUUAAUUCUGUCACCUACACACAGAAAUACAUCCUUGUUCGUUGUUUUUUUUCACGUAACGCAAAAAGUCAAUUUCUUGAUUUUAUGUUUUUACUGAGGCAGUGGCAAGCUGUAACGGUUGAGUAUAAAAAUGACGAGUGUCUGGCAUUGCCGCUCUUUCGGGAGCUUGGCAAGUUGCCGACGCUUUGUGUGCUCAAUUGGAAUGCGGUGAGUUUAAGCAACUCAGAACCUUUGGACGGUGUUAGUAAAAUUUCACUGUUCACGUAUCUGAAUUUCAAGUGGAGGGCAAGUCUGGUGCCAGCAGCCGCGGUAAUACCAGCUCCACUGGCCUAUACAAUCAUUGUUGCGGUUAAGAGGCUCGUAGUUGGAUUGAACUGCAAAACUUGAGUGAAUUCUAUUUCAUCUCGAUUUUGUGAGUAACUUACGCGUAACUUUUUUUUUAUAGAUUCGCACCUCGCGUCUCUUUAGAUUUUUAAUUUUAUGCGUUCGACGCUGUUUAGAACACACGCUAAAUUUUUUACACGGCACUCACUCGCCUUUAGAAUUUAUUCUCAUUUCAACACUGUGAACAAAUCAGAGUGUAUCAAACAUGUCGUUUUUGAAUGUGCAUUGAAUGUCUUAUCAUGGGAUGUUGCACUUUCAGCCUUAGGAAGAAAUUCCACUGCAUACGUUCUCGCACACACACACACACACCGCAGCUCAUAUGCAGGCGACGCACAUGUUAAUACCGCCGCGUAGAUUUUUAUUUCUUCUUAACGGUUAAAAAUGUCGAUGGGGAUAGUUGGAGUCAACAGUACUGCUGGGCGAGAGGUGAAAUUCAUUGACCCUAGCAAGACUACCAAAAGCGAAAGCAGUUGGCUAGGCUAUACUCUUUGUGAUUAUAUUUUUUUUAUGCACACAGCACACAGCAUACACACACACACACACAUACUGUGUCGCCCCGUGUCUCAAAAAAUAUAUACACUUUACAAUGAAGAACGAAGGGUUGGGAGAUCAAAGAGGAUCAGAUACCCUCGUCGUCCCAUUAAUUACAUCAAACGAUGGGCUCUCAAUUGCAUUUUCUCGUAAAUUGCAAAUUUCCUCAGCUACAAAAUGAAUUGGCUUGAGCUCGUAUUAUUCGUAAUACGCUCGCCUCACUAUUUUCGUACGGUCUCGAUGGACGUUUCAUUUAUAUUUUUUUGCGUGUAAGCAUUAUGUUAUUCUUUGAAACAUAAGAAUGCAUUGCGUGCACUUGAUUUUCGGAGCUUUGCGCUCAAUUCUGGUGAGAUGUAAGCACUAUGUCAUACUGCCCGCAGCGUAUGCCUUCGGGCAUUUCGUUCUGUCGUGUGUAGUUGACAAUUUUGGUGUGAAGCACGCUUUAGGCACGCGCUUACUGCAGAAAUGUCUGAGACAUUCCCUUCCGGGGGUAGUAUGCACGCAAGUGUGAAACUUGAAGGAAUUGACGGAAGGGCACCACAAGAACGCGUGGAGCAUGUGGCUUAAUUUGACUCAACGCGGGAAAUCUUACCGGGUCCGGACACACUGAGGAUUGACAGGCAAUAUUAGCACUUAGCUUCGGCGACGUGUUAUGUUAAAUAUGCUAGUCCUUUCAUGAUUAUGUGAUAGGUGGUGCAUGGCCGUUCUUAGUUCGUGGAGUGAUCUGUCUGCCUAAUUGCGUUUCACCAAGGGCCUAUAAUUUUACGUGUGUUGCGGCACCUUGACCCCUCUUUUUUUAAAGAGCGCGUGUCUUGGUUUGCUUAGCUCGCACAAUUAGGUCCUGAAAGCAACGAACGUGACCGCAACCUCUUGUUGCCUUUAUACCAAACGUGCAUAUGUAAUUUUUUUAAAUUGCUUUGCGCGCAAAAAGGCUUUUUAAACUAGAGGGACCGCUGUUACUUUCUUAAACCAGAGGAAGGUUGCGGCAAUAACAGGUCUGUGAUGCCCUUAGAUGUUCCGGGCUGCACACGUGCUACAAUGAUUAUUGCAGUGAGCAUCUCAUUUUUUACACACCGCAUACGCGAGACCAUUUAUUCACCUUCGGGUGCUUUAAAUGUGUUUUCUCUGCGAGCGGUAAAGCCUGCUUCGAAAGUAAGUGGGUAAUCAAUUAGAAGUAAUGAUUUCCUUUUUUUAGCACACAUAUAUACGGCGUCUAUGCCCGGGUUACCUUGUUGUAGCUUUUGUGCGUAUAGAUGUUUUUUCCGUAUGUGCGAUUGUCAAUUCAUGGUGGGGACAGACCAUUGUUAAUUGUUGGUCUCGGUCUUAACUAGGAAUGCCUUGUACGGGUCUUUGGUUCAACAAACCACCCGGAAUACGUCCCUGCCCUUUGUACACACCGCCCGUCGCUCUUACCGAUGGACUUCUCUGUGAGUUUGAGGGACUGGGAACGCGAAGUUAUUUUUAUAACAUACGCACCUGCCUAUGGAAACUUAAACGAACAGUGUGGUCUAAAGGAAAGAGAAGUCGUAACAAGGCAUCGGUAGGUGAACCU
rnacentral:rRNA from 1 species